GUGUGGGUGGGUGUUUUUCCCCUCAUUGCAUAUAUUCAAAAUAUCACAUGAGUCUGGAAGUGGCAGCAGACCUCAGGUCAGACUAAUAGUUCUAAUUUCCGCCCCUCCUCUCGGUGUUUAGCGUGAAACAGCGGAACACUUACAGGAAAUGAGCUACAAAUCCCUCUGAGUGUGCAGAAAGCAGACUGGUCGAGGUGGAGCGACGCUAAGUGAUUCGCCAAAUAUGGGGAGUAGCUAGCAACCUCGGCGGGGCUGACACAUUACUGGCAUAGCUGAGCUUAUCCUUCCACAGACACAUGGACUCUGAGCCAUGCUAGGAAUCCCCGGCCGGCCGGGACACAAGGGAAAAUCUUUGUGAAUUCCAGCAAGGCUGUGAGGAGUAGAGUCUGGAAAGUCCAGGCUGACUCAGUGCGGUGUCACCCCCACAGAUUACAGCGAGCCAGCUAGACGAUGAGCGAGAAAGGCAGACAGGCAGACAGCAAGGCAACAGGCACGCUGUCUGAAAACGCAGCUGAAGUAUUAUUAGACGCGUUCAUGUUUUCUGGCUGCUUUCACCUUGCAGGCAGCUGCCCCAUCAGCAACCCCCCCAUCACUUCCUUUGUGAGACAUUUGAAGGCUUUUGAAGCCUAAAAGACGGCGAAAAGGAUCUGAAGAUCAGUGCCUUUUGAUCAUGAGCUUGAGCAUUGUGUCCUUUGUUCCAGAGAUGAGUGAGUUAAAAUAACCGUCAGUUAUUUGGCAGCAGAAUACAGUGCUUUUGUGUGCUGUGUGACUCCUGUUUGGAUACAGAUUGAACGAGGCAUCUGAAUUUUGUAUGAUCUUCUCAGAAUAAAACAAUAACAAAGACAUUUAAAAGUAACCCUUGAUUGAGUGAUGCAUUUUGUGGCACAUUAACAAUAUUACAAUGGAAGAUAAGAUUCCUGUCAUUCUCAAGCAGUAUCUCCAAGUUUCACAUUCACGCACGCCUUGGACACAACCAAUGACUGGGUCUUAAGGCUGAUUUCUGCAUGACAGUGGACCUACUCCAUUAACGCAGACCCGAUUUGGACCCUACACUGUAGCCUGACAUGCGCCUCCAAAGAAUCCUGACUAUGCGUCACGUCAACGUGUUGUGACGUGAACGUCAAAGGACUGUGUUUGGUCCACUCACAACGUUGUUUCAUAGUUAGUGUAGGCGUUUAAUGUAUUUCUUGUUGUUGUUUGUGCUUCUUCUGUCUGUCUCAUUUUCUUUUGUCCCCCCAUAACCCCUUCUUGUUUGCUGCUUUCCCCUAAUAAACGAGGCAAGUUUAAUGAUCACAAUGGGAGAAUGUCAUACUCCCAUGUGAUACAUUAAGACUGUUCAGACCAA